rnacentral:rRNA from 1 species
GAUGAACGCUGGCGGCGUGCCUAAUACAUGCAAGUCGAGCGAACAGACGAGGAGCUUGCUCCUCUGACGUUAGCGGCGGACGGGUGAGUAACACGUGGAUAACCUACCUAUAAGACUGGGAUAACUUCGGGAAACCGGAGCUAAUACCGGAUGAUAUAUUGAACCGCAUGGUUCAAUAGUGAAAGACGGUUUUGCUGUCACUUAUAGAUGGAUCCGCGCCGCAUUAGCUAGUUGGUAAGGUAACGUCUUACCAAGGCAACGAUGCGUAGCCGACCUGAGAGGGUGAUCGGCCACACUGGAACUGAGACACGGUCCAGACUCCUACGGGAGGCAGCAGUAGGGAAUCUUCCGCAAUGGGCGAAAGCUUGACGGAGCAACGCCGCGUGAGUGAUGAAGGUCUUCGGAUCGUAAAACUCUGUUAUUAGGGAAGAACAAAUGUGUAAGUAACUAUGCACGUCUUGACGGUACCUAAUCAGAAAGCCACGGCUAACUACGUG